rnacentral:rRNA from 1 species
AUUGAACGCUGGCGGCAGGCCUAACACAUGCAAGUCGAACGAGUGGCGGACUGUUGAGUAAUUUCUGGGAAACUUCCCGAUGGAGGGGGAUAACUACUGGAAACGGUAGCUAAUACCGCAUACCAUCGGAUGUUCCCAGAUGGGAUUAGCUAGUAGGUGGGGUAACGGCUCACCUAGGCGACGCUCCCUAGCUGGUCUGAUAGGAUGACCCGCCACACUGGAACUGAGACACGGUCCGGACUCCUACGGGAGGCAGCAGUGGGGAAUAUUGCACAAUGGGCGCAAGCCUGAUGCAGCCAUGCCGCGUGUAUGAAGAAGGCCUUCGGGUUGUAAAGUACUUUCAGCGAGGAGGCGUUACUCGCAGAAGAAGCACUGGCUAACUCCGUGCCAGCAGCCGCGGUAAUAG